CAAGUUUAUUGCUGCUGUGAUCUUCUGUGCAACCCUAUUUUAAGCUGUGGAUGACAGAAUGAACUCAUAAGGUAGUACUGCAAGGGAGAAAAAGAGAUUUAACACUGUGGUCAACAUUAAGCUGGAAUUGGUGUUGUGACAUGCUUGGAGUUGGAAAAAAUACGAAAACAUGGAAGAUAUACUUAAUUUCUCAGACACAUAUCAGAGCCUCUAAAUGCUAAUGUCUGCGACUAAAACUGUGUCUUCAUAAACCUAAAUGAUGAUUUCCUCCGGAGGGGUCAAGAGACAGAAGAGACUUCUGAUGACAGGAAUGACCAUAGUGAGGAACUGAUGUUGUGGCAAAGACACCCAGAGAAUGCUAUGAUCUCUUCCUUUGCUUUGACUCUCCACUCAGAAUGCAUUAUCCUUCUGUUAGAAUGGUGCCCAGACAAUGAAUCUAAAAAGAUAAAAACACCUGUUUUCCACACAAACCAAUGAGCCUGAAAUUGGUAAAGAUAAAAG